rnacentral:rRNA from 1 species
AUACGUAGGGGGCAAGCGUUGUCCGGAAUUAUUGGGCGUAAAGCGCGCGUAGGCGGCCCUUUAAGUCUCGUGUUUAAACCCGGAGCUCAACUUCGGGUCGCACGGGAAACUGGGGGGCUUGAGUGCAGGAGAGGGAAGCGGAAUUCCACGUGUAGCGGUGAAAUGCGUAGAGAUGUGGAGGAACACCAGUGGCGAAGGCGGCUUCCUGGUCUGUAACUGACGCUGAGGCGCGAAAGCGUGGGGAGCAAACAGGAUUAGAUACCCUGUAGUCCGCGCCGUAAACGAUGAAUGCUAGGUGUUAGGGAGCCCGAUCUCCUUAGUGCCGAAGUUAACACAUUAAGCAUUCCGCCUGGGGAGUACGGCCGCAAGGCUGAA